AACGCGAAGAACCUUACCUGGGCUCGAACGGCUUAAGAUCAUCCUUGGAAACAGGGACUUCUCGCAAGAGACUUGAGUCGAGGUGCUGCAUGGCUGUCGUCAGCUCGUGUCGUGAGAUGUUGGGUUAAGUCCCGCAACGAGCGCAACCCUUGUCCUGUGUUGCCAUCAUUUAGUUGGGCACUCUCAGGAGACCGCCAGCGAUAAGCUGGAGGAAGGUGGGGAUGAUGUCAAGUCAUCAUGGCCUUUAUGUCCAGGGCUACACACGUGCUACAAUGGCCGGUACAAAGCGCUGCAAACUCGCAAGAGGGAGCUAAUCGCAAAAAACCGGUCUCAGUUCGGAUCGCAGGCUGCAACUCGCCUGCGUGAAGCUGGAAUCGCUAGUAAUGCCGUAUCAGAACGAUGGCGUGAAUACGUUCCCGGGCCUUGUA
rnacentral:rRNA from 1 species